UGGCAAUAGCGGUAUUGUAUGUUCUCUGGAGAAUUCUGUCUAUCUGAAGACUUUACAGGUCUUCUGUAGGCUUGCAAAAGCAGAAAACUACUGUUUGGAGUCAGUCUUCUUCCUCAAUAUUGUUCCUGAAGCCAUUGUGAGAUUGGCUUAUUUUCUGCUGAAUGGAGCAGAGUAUGCAGAUGACAAUGUUUGAAAGGAAGAAGCAAUUGGACACACAAUUCCUACCUCUAAGCCUUUCUUUUCCUAAUAGUUUUUAUCUGCUGCUAGUCAAGACCGCACAGCAUUUUUUUGGUUAUGUUAUCAAGAGUACAAAGUAUAUAUGCAUUUUGUGGUAAAUGGCAAGAUAUUAACUAUACUUGUGUGAAUAGCUUGUUUUUUUUUGGCUGAAAUUAAAAGCAAAACAAAGGUUUGUUAUUUGUACCUUUAUUUUUGGGGAGUUGCACAGGAUGUCUCCUUUGACCCAAAUGAAAUGUGUGAAUCAGCAGAUAUUUUGUCUUUAUUUCUGUGAGAGUAAGCCACACUAUUCAGGAAGAGUUCAGAUGACUUUUGCACUUCAGGCAAAUAAAUUAUUCAUCUAAAAACUUUCUCUUAAUCCUGAUUAGCACUGCACAGUAUUAGACUCCUGAAGUCCAAACAUACAAAGCUUGAUUGCUCUCGUUUGCAUGCUUGCAGUGAUAUACAUUCCCUGAUAAAACUGUUUUGUAUGUGGCACAGCAACCCUGUUGUUCAGCAAGUCAUGUUACUGUGAACAUGGAAAAUUCCUUGUACACUGCUCUGCUUUCCCACUGGAAGUGAGGGUUUUUGCUUUAAAAUUCAAAGCCCUUUAUGGGACUAGACUGUUAUUUCAGACACCUGGAUAAUGUUUUCUCUUCCUCACAUUAACCCUGAUUAUCAGUGCGGCCUGAUGAGAGAAGGGUGGAAAAUUGCAGCAAUACUGUGAUAAAUGAAAAUGUUGGUCUUACUAUUACACAGUCAUAUCCUUUCUAUUUUCACAAGUAGGGCUUGUGACAGCUGAAACAUUCCCUGUUCAUGGUAUCCAGGUACUGUGCCCAGCAUUCC